rnacentral:rRNA from 1 species
UUCAAUUGCCGGCGACCGGCGCACGGGUGCGUAACGCGUAUGUAACCUACCUAUAACAGGGGCAUAACACUGAGAAAUUGGUACUAAUUCCCCAUAAUAUUCGGAGAGGCAUCUCUCCGGGUUGAAAACUCCGGUGGUUAUAGAUGGACAUGCGUUGUAUUAGCUAGUUGGUGAGGUAACGGCUCACCAAGGCAACGAUACAUAGGGGGACUGAGAGGUUAACCCCCCACACUGGUACUGAGACACGGACCAGACUCCUACGGGAGGCAGCAGUGAGGAAUAUUGGUCAAUGGACGCAAGUCUGAACCAGCCAUGCCGCGUGCAGGAAGACGGCUCUAUGAGUUGUAAACUGCUUUUGUACGAGGGUAAACUCACCUACGUGUAGGUGACUGAAAGUAUCGUACGAAUAAGGAUCGGCUAACUCCGUGCCAGCAGCCGCGGUAAUACGGAGGAUUCAAGCGUUAUCCGGAUUUAUUGGGUUUAAAGGGUGCGUAGGCGGUUUGAUAAGUUAGAGGUGAAAUCCCGGGGCUUAACUCCGGAACUGCCUCUAAUACUGUUAGACUAGAGAGUAGUUGCGGUAGGCGGAAUGUAUGGUGUAGCGGUGAAAUGCUUAGAGAUCAUACAGAACACCGAUUGCGAAGGCAGCUUACCAAACUAUAUCUGACG